AGAUGGAACGCUGGCGGCAGGCCUAACACAUGCAAGUCGAGCGGAUGAAGGGAGCUUGCUCCUGGAUUCAGCGGCGGACGGGUGAGUAAUGCCUAGGAAUCUGCCUGGUAGUGGGGGAUAACGUCCGGAAACGGGCGCUAUUACCGCAUACGUCCUGAGGGAGAAAGUGGGGGAUCUUCGGACCUCACGCUAUCAGAUGAGUCUAGGUCGGAUUAGCUAGUUGGUGGGGUAAAGGCCUACUAAGGCGACGAUCCGUAACUGGUCUGAGAGGAUGAUCAGUCACACUGCAACUGAGACACGGUCCAGACUCCUACGGGAGGCAGCAGUGGGGAAUAUUGGACAAUGGGCGAAAGCCUGAUCCAGCCAUGCCGCGUGUGUGAAGAAGGUCUUCGGAUUGUAAAGCACUUUAAGUUGGGAGGAAGGGCAGUAAGUUAAUACCUUGCUGUUUUGACGUUACCAACAGAAUAAGCACCGGCUAACUUCGUGCGAGCAGCCGCGGUAAUACGAAGGGUGCAAGCGUUAAUCGGAAUUACUGGGCGUAAAGCGCGCGUAGGUGGUUCAGCAAGUUGGAUGUGAAAUCCCCGGGCUCAACCUGGGAACUGCAUCCAUAACUACUGAGCUAGAGUACGGUAGAGGGUGGUGGAAUUUCCUGUGUAGCGGUGAAAUGCGUAGAUAUAGGAAGGAACACCAGUGGCGAAGGCGACCACCUGGACUGAUACUGACACUGAGGUGCGAAAGCGUGGGGAGCAAACACGAUUAGAUACCCUGGUAGUCCACGCCGUAAACGAUGUCGACUAGCCGUUGGGAUCCUUGAGAUCUUAGUGGAGCAGCUAACGCGAUAAGUCGACGCCUGGGGAGUACGGCCGCAAGGUUAAAACUCAAAUGAUU
rnacentral:rRNA from 1 species